rnacentral:rRNA from 1 species
UACAGAGGCCUCGAGCGUUAGGCGGAGUCACUGGGCUUAAAGCGUGUGUAGGCGGACUUCUAAGUACCUUGUGAAAUCCCACGGCUUACCCGUGGAACGGCUGGGUAUACUGGUUGUCUUGAGCCACUUAGGGGCUACCGGAACAAAUGGUGGAGCGGUGAAAUGCGUAGAUAUCAUUUGGAACGCCAAUGGUGAAAACAGGUAGCUGGGAGUGUGCUGACGCUGAGACACGAAAGCCAGGGGAGCGAACGGG